AGCAAGUGGCGCUCCUGCAAACGCCCUCUCCUUGAGGGCGGUUAAAGGCAUCUCAAACGCCUGUGGUGGCGCCGCACAGUGACUACUGUUCUGGUCACACCGCACAGAGGCUGAAGCGGCGGAACAGGCCUGUGACCUGAGGGAGUCAAGACCGAAGAGGCCUUGUGCUACUUCUGUGUGGUGAGGCGGCGUCCGGGCCGGUGGUGACAGCAACAUGAUGAGGCUUCUGAGGCGGGCUUUGACUUUCUUCCGGAGGAGGCGGGUGAACCCCCAAGAAGAGCUCAAGUCUCCCAAUGAUCAGAUGGAGGUUGUCGAUGAUCAUGUUGCUGACUCCGGACCAUCGGAACCUGAAAUCAAAGUUCUACUUGGUUGUGUCACCUCUGUAAGGGACGGUAUUGCCUGCAUUAAUAAAGAAGUUUCCUUCCGCAGAGAU